rnacentral:rRNA from 1 species
UACGAAUCGUCCAAACGUUGUUCGGAUUCACUGGGUUUAAAGGGCGCGUAGGCGGUGCGUUAAGUCGGCGGUGAAAUACUUCGGCUCAACCGGAGAAUUGCCGCUGAAACUGGCGCGCUCGAGGGAGGUAGAGGUGUGUGGAACUUCCGGUGGAGCGGUGAAAUGCGUUGAUAUCGGAAGGAACACCUGUGGCGAAAGCGAUGCACUGGACCUCUUCUGACGCUGAGGCGCGAAAGCCAGGGGAGCGAACGGG